AGCGAACGCUGGCGGCGUGCUUAACACAUGCAAGUCGAACGAUGAAGCCCAGCUUGCUGGGUGGAUUAGUGGCGAACGGGUGAGUAACACGUGAGUAACCUGCCCUUAACUCUGGGAUAAGCCUGGGAAACUGGGUCUAAUACCGGAUAGGAGCGUCCACCGCAUGGUGGGUGUUGGAAAGAUUUAUCGGUUUUGGAUGGACUCGCGGCCUAUCAGCUUGUUGGUGAGGUAAGGGCUCACCAAGGCGACGACGGGUAGCCGGCCUGAGAGGGUGACCGGCCACAAUGGGACUGAGACACGGCCCAGACUCCUACGGGAGGCAGCAGUGGGGAAUAUUGCACAAUGGGCGCAAGCCUGAUGCAGCGACGCCGCGUGAGGGAUGACGGCCUUCGGGUUGUAAACCUCUUUCAGUAGGGAAGAAGCGAAAGUGACGGUACCUGCAGAAGAAGCACCGGCUAACUACGUG
rnacentral:rRNA from 1 species